GAAUUGCGAUAAGUAGUGUGAAUUGCAGAAUUCAGUGAAUCAUCGAAUCUUUGAACGCACAUUGCGCCCUUUGGUAUUCCUUAGGGCAUGCCUGUUCGAGCGUCAUUUGUACCCUCAAGCUCUGCUUGGUGUUGGGUGUUUGUCCCCGUCUCCGCGCGUGGACUCGCCCCAAAGUGAUUGGCAGCCGGCGUACUGGUCCCGGAGCGCAGCACAUGUCGCGCAAACGAGUGCCUUGGUACGGCGGCGUCCAUAAGCCCCUCUCUCACGCUCUUGACCUCGGAUCAGGUAGGGAUACCCGCUGAACUUAAGC
rnacentral:misc_RNA from 1 species